rnacentral:lncRNA from 1 species
CCCACAAACAGCAAGGCUGGACAGGCAAAGCGGGAAGAAGGGACGUGCUCCUCUCGCCACUCCUCUCUCUUCCCCCACAUCCCUGAGUCUAUUAUUCAAGCUCCUAGGCUUCCUUUUAUACCCCCCCCGUUAAGCAAACCGGGCAGCAUGUGGACAUCAGCACAGACAGACACACAGGCAUCCAAAUGUACCUACCCGCUUCUGCAGCCAGGAUCCAGAUCACCUCCAGCAGCAGAGGGAAGAACAACAUGGUAUCCCUGGAAGAAGCAGGUCCUGGGACUUUGGGGACUUGAGGACUAGGGUUGGCGGAAAAAGAGUGGGGUGGGGGGAAGAGGGAAAGAGAGAGAGAGAAGGAGAGGGAGGAAGGAGGGGGGAGGGACAGAAAGAGAGAGGAGUUUCUUGGAGCUGAGCUGAUUGUAUUUAUCUCUUUUUCUCUUGCUGUCUCUGUGUCUCUUCGGGCUUCCAGGGGAUUUGGUUUUCAGUAGGGUACCUAAUGUUUUGGGUCCCUAGGACAAAUCUCUCGCUGCCCCACUCUUUUUUAAUCUACCUCUAUGGUCUUCACUCCACUUGCUGGCCAGCAACCUCACAAUUGCCUCCCGCUUUUAAGGUGGCUCUGGACGAGUGUACGUGCUGGGGAGGGGGGUGCUGCCUGGGUUGCUGGUGAACAGCUCCUUAAAUAGCCUAUUAGGCAUGCAGAGCUGGAGCAUGCCGCGGGUUCGCGGGAGCCCUGGCCCUGGCUCAGGAGCCCAGCUGGGGUGAGCUCUUCCUUCUUCUGCUCUUUGCAUGGGCACUGUCCAGGUGGGUGUCCCCUGGAGUGGGCCUGGGGCACGGACGGAAGGCUUGGGGAUCCAAUCCAGCCCCCUCAGGGGGACACUGUGUUCUCAUUCCCCGUCUGGCUUCUCCGAGGAGCAACUCCCCGGGGUGGCAUGGAGCAGUGGGUGGGAGGACCUUUUCCCUGUCCCCUGAAGAAUUUGAACUGCCCCGGAACAGGAAGAGUCCAGAGUUUGGAGACAGCAGUUGGGGACUCAGGGUGCAGGUGGAGGGUAGAAAGUCAAGCGCUAAAACCUAGCUUGUGGAAAAUAAAGAAGAGAAGUGAGUCAAGAGAACUUGCUUGGAGCGAUCUCUUCCUGUGCCUGUCACUACCCCCUUCCCACGGGUCACCAGCCCUGAGGAUGCACCCAUCCGAGCUCCCUCUGCGCUCAUCCCUCCUGCCAAGGAGCAAGAAAUAGCCAAAACAAAGGGAGCAGAAGCUAAAUAAGGAGCAGGAUAAAGGCCGAAGGAACAGAGUGAUGCAUGUGCUCGGUCAUCAGUGCCUGCUGAGGCAGGAGCGGCCCUGCCUUUCCGGCCCCUGUGACUGAUCUGCGAAGCAAAACCGUUUGGCAGAUGUCAUUUCCUUCUUCAUUUUCUCAUCACCCUCAGAAUUAUUUUUCCCUUACAGGCGCAUUUUAUGUUUUGAGAUUCCCCCAGAGCCCCACCCCUCUCAUCUAAGCGGAAUAAAAGGCAGGAAGUGUCAACUAGACA